GAUGAACGCUGGCGGCGUGCCUAACACAUGCAAGUCGAGCGAACGGACGAGAAGAUUGCGUCUCUGAUGUUAGCGGCGGACGGGUGAGUAACACGUGGAUAACCUACUUAUAAGACUGGGAUAAUUACGGGAAACAGGAGAUAAUACCGGAGAAUAUUUUGAACCGCAGGGUUCAAAAGUGAAAGACGGUCUUGCUGUCACAUAUAGAUGGAUCCGCGCUGCAUUAGCUAGUUGGUAAGGUAACGGCUUACCAAGGCAACGAUGCAUAGCCGACCUGAGAGGGUGAUCGGCCACACUGGAACUGAGACACGGUCCAGACUCCUACGGGAGGCAGCAGUAGGGAAUCUUCCGCAAUGGGCGAAAGCCUGACCGAGCCACGCCGCGUGAGUGAUGAAGGUCUUCGGAUCGUAAAGCUCUGUUAUUGGGGAAGAACAUCUGUGUAAUUAACUGUGCACAUCUUGACGGUACCUAAUCAGUAAGCCACGGCUAACUACGUG
rnacentral:rRNA from 1 species